rnacentral:rRNA from 1 species
AUUGAACGCUGGCGGAAUGCUUUACACAUGCAAGUCGAACGGCAGCACGGGGCAACCUGGUGGCGAGUGGCGAACGGGUGAGUAAUACAUCGGAACGUGCCCAAUCGUGGGGGAUAACGUAGCGAAAGUUACGCUAAUACCGCAUACGAUCUACGGAUGAAAGGGGGGGAUCGCAAGACCUCUCGCUAUUGGAGCGGCCGAUGUCAGAUUAGCUAGUUGGUGGGGUAAAGGCCUACCAAGGCAACGAUCUGUAGUUGGUCUGAGAGGACGACCAGCCACACUGGGACUGAGACACGGCCCAGACUCCUACGGGAGGCAGCAGUGGGGAAUUUUGGACAAUGGGCGCAAGCCUGAUCCAGCAAUGCCGCGUGCAGGAAGAAGGCCUUCGGUUGUAAACUGCUUUGUUCAGGGAAGGAAAUACUUCUGGGUUAAUACUCGGAGGAGUGACGGUACCUGAAGAAUAAGCACCGGCUAACUACGUGCCAGCAGCCGCGGAAU